CGCAGUGAGUGUGCGCAGUGCAGUGCAAGAAAAAAAUUUCAUGCUGCAGAACGCAGAUAUCGGCAACGAAUAUUUCCAUCUAAAAUGGAUGAAAAUACAGACUACAGACCCGGGAAUAGUCGUUUUUCAUAAACUUUUCAAAUUCAAUUUCAAUAUUUUUACGCAGUUCCUGACUCGAUCUGACUAAGAAUGCAGCAAGUGCAUUUGCGUGUAAGACAUCUGCGUCCCAGCGUGCUCGCCGCAAUUUUAGCUCCCCACGCCAGGGAAGCCGAGUGGUACCGAAUUAAUCAUCAUGCCUUUCGUUGCGAAUAUUCUCCGAGCUACGCUGGCAAUUCAUGAGUUGCCUAAAGACUAUACAGGUCUUUUUUUAGGAUGUAGCAACACCGAUUGCCCUUCCAACAAAGCUCUCUUGAAUGAGUGUUGUGACAAUCCGUGCGUUGUGAAAAUUCAUGCAUUGGACAACUCGAAUUCUCGACUCGAUUUACAAUCAUGUGCUUCUGAUCCACCUGGAUACAUCGGUGAUAUCGAUUCUGGCUGUACACCAGGUGUGAGAAAAAGCUCGUUACUGCUGAGGUUUGCGGACAACACAUUCAACAGUAGUUACCUAACGAUGAUAGAUGUUGACAUCAAAAUAAGGACUAUAGAGGUUAAAGGAGACAGGGUGAAGCUGUAGGUAUGGGACACCACAGGACAGGAGGAACUCAGGACAAUAACGUCAAUAUGUCAAACGAUGGCUACACAAGAUUGACCACAACUGCAAUACAGUCAAUAGGGUUCUCGUGGAUAACAAAAUCGAUGCUUCUAACCAAAAAGUUGUACUGACCGAGGAUACUGAACGUUUUGCCACUCUUUGAGAGAACUCUUUGAGAUCUCUGCUAAAGGCAACAUCAAUGUUCAAGAGGCGAUCCAGAGUAAUUCGACGACGACGUCACUAUAACAGCGGCAGAGUUAUCGGCGACUCCAACGGCAAUGAGAACCGCGAGUGGUUGGACCGGUGGCUCAACGAGAUUCAAUCCAGAGCAAAAUGCAAAAGCCGCGACGACGGGGAAAAACGGAGCUCGAGGACGAGGGAGUUAUAGAAACAGGAGUCGGAGCGAGAGAAAACAAUACACGGAGACGACCUGAACGACGAGCCAACGAAUCCCAUUGUCGAGCGGAAAGACAGAGAGGAAAAAAAAUGAUAAAAAUGAUGCGAAGCACUAUGACACAUUACGAAAAAUGUAUUCACCUACGAGAAAGUCACCGAAAAUAAUACCGAUGGAUACUCCAGUUGAUGCGCAAGUGAUAGACGCGUCAGUGGGGGCAAUGGAAACUUGAGAUCGACAACUUUUUUCCUUUCGAUUCUAUGAAUAUGGAUUGAUCUGUAUUUUUCAAUAAACUUGUAAUUCAUCGUA
rnacentral:misc_RNA from 1 species